rnacentral:rRNA from 1 species
UACGUAGGGGCGUAGCGUUAUCCGGAAUUACUGGGCGUAAAGGGUGCGUAGGUGGUUUCUUAAGUCAGAGGUGAAAGGCUAUGGCUCAACCGUAGUAGGCCUUUGAAACUGGGAAACUUGAGUGCAGGAGAGGAGAGUGGAAUUCCUAGUGUAGCGGUGAAAUGCGUAGAUAUUAGGAGGAACACCAGUUGCGAAGGCGGCUCUCUGGACUGUAACUGACACUGAGGCACGAAAGCGUGGGGAGCAAACAGGAUUAGAUACCCCCGUAGUCCCUGAGCGGG